rnacentral:lncRNA from 1 species
UUGAUGCCGAGAAUGGAGUUUCGUCCCUAUCAAAGAAGGGGAGUGAAACAAUGAUGGACCCAACCAUUGCACAUGCAUACACCAUACAGAGGAAAGAAAUAAAAGCAAUGAAGGGGGCAGACUAAGAAAGAAAGUCUUCGUUCAUCCAUUGCUCCAGUUGCAACAGAACUAACUUGUCAACCAAGUAUAUGCUUAAGCAAGAAGAGGAACAGGACAACAUAAAUGAUAAUGAGAAUGACUUAGCAACAACUAGACCCCCACU